GAUGAACGCUAGCGGGAGGCUUAACACAUGCAAGUCGAGGGGUAACAUGGGGUAGCAAUACUCUGAUGACGACCGGCGUACGGGUGAGUAACGCGUAUGCAACCUACCCUGUACAGGGGGAUAACCCGGAGAAAUUCGGACUAAUACCCCAUAAAGAUACUCAGAGGCAUCUUUGAAUAUUUAAAGCUUCGGUGGUACGGGAUGGGCAUGCGUAACAUUAGCUGGUUGGUAGGGUAACGGCCUACCAAGGCGACGAUGUUUAGGGGUCCUGAGAGGGUGAUCCCCCACACUGGUACUGAGACACGGACCAGACUCCUACGGGAGCAG
rnacentral:rRNA from 1 species